rnacentral:rRNA from 1 species
GAUGAACGCUGGCGGCGUGCCUAAUACAUGCAAGUCGAGCGAACAGACGAGGAGCUUGCUCCUCUGACGUUAGCGGCGGACGGGUGAGUAACACGUGGAUAACCUACCUAUAAGACUGGGAUAACUUCGGGAAACCGGAGCUAAUACCGGAUAAUAUAUUGAACCGCAUGGUUCAAUAGUGAAAGACGGUUUUGCUGUCACUUAUAGAUGGAUCCGCGCCGCAUUAGCUAGUUGGUAAGGUAACGGCUUACCAAGGCAACGAUGCGUAGCCGACCUGAGAGGGUGAUCGGCCACACUGGAACUGAGACACGGUCCAGACUCCUACGGGAGGCAGCAGUAGGGAAUCUGCCGCAAUGGGCGAAAGCCUGACGGAGCAACGCCGCGUGAGUGAUGAAGGUCUUCGGAUCGUAAAACUCUGUUAUUAGGGAAGAACAAAUGUGUAAGUAACGAUGCACGUCUUGACGGUACCUAAUCAGAAAGCCACGGCUAACUACGU